rnacentral:misc_RNA from 1 species
CAGAAGCAACCGACUCUUUGACCUAUAAAGUACAGUACAUCAGCAACCGAACAGCUAGUAAUUUCCAACUUUGAAGGAAACGUUAUGUGACCCAUUCAUCUGAACUUGCACGAAAACUUCCAUGAUAAAAGGUUAAAAAAAGUCAUCAUCACAUUAUGAGGCCUUCACCCAACUUAUUUUAGUACUUUUUGACUGUGGCAACCAUGAACCAAAUCCAACUUAAACAAAAACUACACAUUUUCAACUAGUCUACCAUUCUAAAAUGUAUUUAUAUUAAGGCAGUACCAUGCAAAGCCACCCUGUCCUGUGCAUGGGGAGAGGGGCACCUCCAUGAUGCAAAUUUUCACAUUCCAUGAAAUUUUAC